CUUGGGGGGACACUCUCUCUCUCUCUCUGUAAAAUUAUCCAAAGGUGGAAAAUUGGCCGAAGGAAUUUGACCGUACACGAGAUGGACUCCAAGGAGGCGUCGACUGCUCCUCUUACUUCAUCGUAGCCGUCAAAAUGGCGUGGGACCAAUCCAAUCUGACGGUCACGAUGAACUGGUCUCAGGCGCAACCAAUUCCGCCAAGAAAAGUACCCGCGGGGGCGUGGGCCGCAGUCUACGAAGCGCGCAACUUAAAACCAUUGGCGGACCCCGACCCGGACCCGGAUCUGGACCGGACCGAGUGGAGCGUGGGUCUACAGUUCGGUGCACUCUGCUGCUAAUCGGUUCGGUCCGGACCGGCCCGACUCACCUCAUGGAUGGCAUUCCCGGAGCUCCAGCUCGCGCGAUGACUUUGAGGGGGUCCGUCUCCUCUCUUGAGAAGUCGAGCACAAAAAUAUUGGAUGAGCUUCGCGAGGGUCGGAAAAAGAUCGGUUCUUUAAAUUUCUCUGUUGACUGUUGAUCUUCGAUCGGCUCUUGCUUGAUCCGGCGGAGAAUCGACAGCUCAGAUCCCAACCCAUUUCCAAGUUUACUGUUCGAAUUGACUAGUGGGUCAUUACGCCCAUCGGUUUGCGUUGGACUGUUCUGCUCUCUUGCUUCUAGUUACUGCUCCAGUCACUCGCUACGCGAAUUGAUUUCUCGGUUGUGUGCUCUUCUGGGGGAUCUUCGAUUUGCCCGUUCUGUCCCUGUCGAACCGGCUGUCUGUUCCGUGGAAUCUUUACUCAAUCCGGAGGAAGUCCAUUCUGCUGCAAUCUCGCACGCUAAAACCUCUGUUUUGGACUUUUGGGUCGUCGCCGUGUUCUUCUGUAGCUUGAGGUUGUCUUAGUAGGAGGUUUUGAGUUCUUUUGCCAUCAAUGGAGGGAGUUGUGGGGCCUCGGGUGUACAGCUGCUACAAUUGUCGAAACCAUGUUGGUCUUCACGAUGAUAUUAUCUCCAAGGACUUCCAGGUAGGAGAGGAUCUGGCUUUGUCUCGCAUUAGAUGGCUAAAUGGUGUUCAAUCUCAUUACUUUUGUUUGUAGCUAUUGGUAUUGUUUCCAAGUCCUUGUCAGUCAUCAAAAUUCAAGCAUAUGAAUCAGUUUAAUGGGGGUCUGGAGAUUUUUGUUCUUAGGGAAUAAAUGGCCGGGCUUUUCUGUUCUCUCACGCCAUGAACAUCAUCGUGGGGGCCCAAGAAGAUCGGCGCCUCCGCACUGGUCUUCAUACGGUUGCUGACAUAUCCUGUGCCGAUUGCCACGAGGUGUUGGGUUGGAAGUA